rnacentral:rRNA from 1 species
AUACGGAGGAUUCGAGCGUUAUCCGGAUUUAUUGGGUUUAAAGGGUGCGUAGGCGGCCUUUUAAGUCAGCGGUGCAAGUCUGUGGCUCAACCAUAGAAUUGCCGUUGCAACUGGGGGGCUUGAGUAUGUUUGAGGCAGGCGGAAUGGGUGGUGGAGCGGUGAAAUGCUUACAUAUUACGCAGAAACCCGAUUGGGAAGGUAGCCUGCCAAGCCAUGACUGACGCUGAUGCACGAAAGCGUGGGGAUCAAACAGGAUUAGAUACCCUGGUAGUCCACGCAGUAAACGAUGAUCACUAGCUGUUUGCGAUACACUGUAAGCGGCACAGCGAAAGCGUUAAGUGAUCCACCUGGGGAGUACGCCGGCAACGGUGAAACUCAAAUGAAUUGGCGGGG